rnacentral:rRNA from 1 species
UGCCUAAUACAUGCAAGUCGAGCGAACAGAUAAGGAGCUUGCUCCUUUGACGUUAGCGGCGGACGGGUGAGUAACACGUGGAUAACCUACCUAUAAGACUGGGAUAACUUCGGGAAACCGGAGCUAAUACCGGAUAACAUAUUGAACCGCAUGGUUCAAUAGUGAAAGGCGGCUUUGCUGUCACUUAUAGAUGGAUCCGCGCCGUAUUAGCUAGUUGGUAAGGUAACGGCUUACCAAGGCAACGAUACGUAGCCGACCUGAGAGGGUGAUCGGCCACACUGGAACUGAGACACGGUCCAGACUCCUACGGGAGGCAGCAGUAGGGAAUCUUCCGCAAUGGGCGAAAGCCUGACGGAGCAACGCCGCGUGAGUGAUGAAGGUCUUCGGAUCGUAAAACUCUGUUAUCAGGGAAGAACAAAUGUGUAAGUAACUGUGCACAUCUUGACGGUACCUGAUCAGAAAGCCACGGCUAACUACGUGCCAGCAGCCGCGGUAAUACGUAGGUGGCAAGCGUUAUCCGGAAUUAUUGGGCGUAAAGCGCGCGUAGGCGGUUUUUUAAGUCUGAUGUGAAAGCCCACGGCUCAACCGUGGAGGGUCAUUGGAAACUGGAAAACUUGAGUGCAGAAAAGGAAAGUGGAAUUCCAUGUGUAGCGGUGAAAUGCGCAAAAAUAUGGAGGAACACCAGUGGCGAAGGCGACUUUCUGGUCUGUAACUGACGCUGAUGUGCGAAAGCGUGGGGAUCAAACAGGAUUAGAUACCCUGGUAGUCCACGCCGUAAACGAUGAGUGCUAAGUGUUAGGGGGUUUCCGCCCCUUAG